GAAAUGCGAUAACUAGUGUGAAUUGCAGAAUUCCGUGAAUCAUCGAGUCUUUGAACGCACAUUGCGCCCCCUGGUAUUCCGGGGGGCAUGCCUGUCCGAGCGUCAUUGCUGCCCAUCAAGCACGGCUUGUGUGUUGGGUCGUCGUCCCCUCUCCGGGGGGGACGGGCCCCAAAGGCAGCGGCGGCAACGCGUCCGAUCCUCGAGCGUAUGGGGCUUUGUCACCCGCUCUGUAGGCCCGGCCGGCGCUUGCCGAACGCAAAUCAAUCUUUUUCCAGGUUGACCUCGGAUCAGGUAGGGAUACCCGCUGAACUUAAGC
rnacentral:misc_RNA from 1 species